UACGGAGGGUGCAAGCGUUAUUCGGAAUCACUGGGCGUAAAGGACGCGUAGGCGGGUUGGCAAGUCAGAUGUGAAAUCCUACAGCUUAACUGUAGAACUGCAUUUGAAACUGCUAACCUAGAGUAUGGGAGGGGGAGAUGGAAUUAGUGGUGUAGGUGUAAAAUCCGUAGAUAUCACUAGGAAUACCGAAAGCGAAGGCGAUCUCCUGGAACAUAACUGACGCUAAGGCGUGAAAGCGUGGGGAGCAAACAGGAGUAGAAACCCUAGUAGUCC
rnacentral:rRNA from 1 species